AGUGAACGCUGGCGGUAGGCCUAACACAUGCAAGUCGAACGGCAGCACAGUAAGAGCUUGCUCUUACGGGUGGCGAGUGGCGGACGGGUGAGGAAUACAUCGUAAUCUACUUUUUCGUGGGGGAUAACGUAGGGAAACUUACGCUAAUACCGCAUACUCCCUACGGGUGAAAGCAGGGGAUCUUCGGACCUUGCGCGAUUGAAUGAGCCGAUGUCGGAUUAGCUAGUUGGCGGGGUAAAGGCCCACCAAGGCGACGAUCCGUAGCUGGUCUGAGAGGAUGGUCAGCCACACUGGAACUGAGACACGGUCCAGACUCCUACGGGAGGCAGCAGUGGGGAAUAUUGGACAAUGGGCGCAAGCCUGAUCCAGCCAUACCGCGUGGGUGAAGAAGGCCUUCGGGUUGUAAAGCCCUUUUGUUGGGAAAGAAAAGCAGCAGGUUAAUACCCCGCUGUGCUGACGGUACCCAAAGAAUAAGCACCGGCUAACUACGUG
rnacentral:rRNA from 1 species